AGCAGCCGCGGUAAUUCCAGCUCCAAUAGCGUAUAUUAAAGUUGCUGCAGUUAAAAAGCUCGUAGUUGAAUUUCGGGAUCAAUAUGUCGGUCGUGCCUCGGUACGUACUGGCUUAUUGGUUUCUCCUUUCUGAAGAACCAUGAUGUCAUUUAUUUGGUGUCGUGGGAAAUCAGGACUGUUACUUUGAAAAAAUUAGAGUGUUUAAAGCAGGCUCACGCUUGAAUACAUUAGCAUGGAAUAAUGAAAUAGGACGUUUGAUUCUAUUUUGUUGGUUUCUAGGAUCGACGUAAUGAUUAAUAGGGAUAGUUGGGGGCAUUAGUAUUCAAUUGUCAGAGGUGAAAUUCUUGGAUUUAUUGAAGACUAACUACUGCGAAAGCAUUUGCCAAGGAUGUUUUCAUUAAUCAAGAACGAAAGUUAGGGGAUCGAAGACGAUCAGAUACCGUCGUAGUCUUAACCAUAAACUAUGCCGACUA
rnacentral:misc_RNA from 1 species